rnacentral:rRNA from 1 species
GGAGGAUCCGAGCGUUAUCCGGAUUUAUUGGGUUUAAAGGGUGCGUAGGCGGCCUUUUAAGUCAGCGGUGAAAGUCUGUGGCUCAACCAUAGAAUUGCCGUUGAAACUGGGGGGCUUGAGUAUGUUUGAGGCAGGGGGAAUGCGUGGUGUAGCGGUGAAAUGCUUAGAUAUCACGCAGAACCCCGAUUGCGAAGGCAGCCUGCCAAGCCAUGACUGACGCUGAUGCACGAAAGCGUGGGGAUCAAA